CCCUUAGAUGUCCGGGGCCGCACGCGCGCUACACUGAAGGAAUCAGCGUGGCUUUCUCCCUGACCCGAAAGGGUUGGGAAACCCGUUGAAUCUCCUUCGUGCUUGGGAUUGGGGCUUGCAAUUAUUCCCCAUGAACGAGGAAUUCCCAGUAGGCGCGAGUCAUCAGCUCGCGUCGAUUACGUCCCUGCCCUUUGUACACACCGCCCGUCGCUACUACCGAUCGGAUGGUUUAGUGAGACCCUCGGACUGGUCCCGCUGUCGGACAGGCAACUGUUUGCAGCGCGUGCGCCGGGAAGAAGGUCGAACUUGACUAUCUAGAGGAAGUAAAAGUCGUAACA
rnacentral:rRNA from 1 species